rnacentral:rRNA from 1 species
GGGUUGUGAGGUUAAGCGACUAAGCGUACACGGUGGAUGCCCUGGCAGUCAGAGGCGAUGAAGGGCGUGCUAAUCUGCGAUAAGCGCCGGUAAGGUGAUAUGAACCGUUAUAACCGGCGAUACCCGAAUGGGGAAACCCAGUGUGAUUCGUCACACUAUCAUUAACUGAAUCCAUAGGUUAAUGAGGCGAACCGGGGGAACUGAAACAUCUAAGUACCCCGAGGAAAAGAAAUCAACCGAGAUUCCCCCAGUAGCGGCGAGCGAACGGGGAGGAGCCCAGAGCCUGAAUCAGCAUGUGUGUUAGUGGAAGCGUCUGGAAAGGCGCGCGAUACAGGGUGACAGCCCCGUACACAAAAGCGUAUGUGCUGUGAGCUCGAUGAGUAGGGCGGGACACGUGGUAUCCUGUCUGAAUAUGGGGGGACCAUCCUCCAAGGCUAAAUACUCCUGACUGACCGAUAGUGAACCAGUACCGUGAGGGAAAGGCGAAAAGAACCCCAGCGAGGGGAGUGAAAAAGAACCUGAAACCGUGUACGUACAAGCAGUGGGAGCACCCUU